rnacentral:rRNA from 1 species
UCCGGUUGAUCCUGGCGGAGGUUACUGCUAUCGAGGUUCGACUAAGCCAUGCGAGUCGAAUGUAGCAAUACAUGGCGUACUGCUCAGUAACACGUGGACAACCUGCCCUUAGGUUGGGUAUAAACCCGGGAAACUGGGUAUAAUCCCCUAUAAGUCUCGGCUGCUGGAAUGCACCGAGAUUAAAAGCUCCGGCGCCUAAGGAUGGGUCUGCGGCCUAUCAGGUAGUAGUGGGUGUAGCGUACCUACUAGCCUACGACGGGUACGGGUUGUGAGAGCAAGAGCCCGGAGAUGGAUUCUGAGACACGAAUCCAGGCCCUACGGGGUGCAGCAGGCGCGAAAACUUUACAAUGCUGGCAACAGCGAUAAGGGAACCUCGAGUGCCAGGUUACAAAUCUGGCUGUCGAGAUGCCUAAAAAGCAUUUCAUAGCAAGGGCCGGGCAAGACCGGUGCCAGCCGCCGCGGUAACACCGGCGGCUCGAGUGGUAACCGUUAUUAUUGGG